AUAAUCACCUUAUUUAAAGCGUAGAAAUCCAUUUUUUUAGCGUGUUAUCUAAGUUGUGUUCUCCCAAAAGAACCCCUGUGCUCAUUGGAGUCGUCCUGUUCCCUCUACAGGUCCGUACUUAGGCCACCACCUCCUGCCUGUUGGGGACAGCUCAGUGUCAGAUGCAGGUUUAAGGAUUUGGGAAGAAUACAUGCCAUUUUCUGUCUCUGGAGAGCAGCAAGAAGACGGGACUUUGGCACACGAAGUUCCCCAAAACAUCCCUGGGAAGGAGGACAGCCCGGUACAGACCUGUGUGGAUCCUGGUGCGAGGGUCCAUUGACUGGUGGCAAAGAGGCAGUGGGACUAAGACCCCGUUCUGUGCUUGCCCAUAGCCUCACGGGCCUCAGAGACACCACCACUCCUGCACAUAUUGUUGGGAGUCUGAGCCAACCUCAUGUGACACCAUUUGCAGAGGCAUAGAGCCUUUCAUGGUAUUAGGGUCACAUGCCAAGCAGCCAAAUAAAUUCCAUGUAUGCACUG